rnacentral:tRNA from 1 species
GGGGUUGUAGUUCAGUGGUAGAGCACUUGCCUCACAUGCAUGAGGCCCUGGGUUCAAUGCUCAGCACCA